AUGGGAAGACAGGUGUACGCGCCGAAAGGUGAGGAAAGUCUGGACAUCCCUCUCGAAGGAGAAAAGCUAACAGCUUUGGUCAGGUACUAUAUACAAAAUACCUGAUACGACCAGUGCCACAGAGACAAUACUAUCCCGUAAGGGAGAAAGGUGAAAAGUCAUCGGGUGUUUUGAUUUUAAUUUUUUCGUGAAAAUCGAGAAGUAAAAAGAAAAAGCUACCGAUGAAUCCCGAGUGAUCGGGAGUGGUAAACUCUCUCUGAUGCAAGGAGAAUGGUACCCGAAGGGAUAAUGCUCGAGAGCAGUCCCAAAGGGUAUACUCCGCUGGAGGUAUCGCGCGAGCGAUAUCCUAGAUAGAUGUACACCGAAGUACAGAAUCCGGCUUAUUAUCUCCUCAUGAGU
rnacentral:RNase_P_RNA from 1 species